rnacentral:rRNA from 1 species
UACGUAGGGGGCAAGCGUUGUCCGGAAUCAUUGGGCGUAAAGCGCACGUAGGCGGCCCGGUAAGUCCGUUGUGAAAGUCAGAGGCUCAACCUCUGGAGGCCAAUGGAUACUGCCGGGCUAGAGUCCGGAAGAGGCGAGUGGAAUUCCUGGUGUAGCGGUGGAAUGCGCAGAUAUCAGGAGGAACACCAAUGGCGAAGGCAGCUCGCUGGGACGGUACUGACGCGUGGAGGUGACGAAAGGCAGUGGGG